rnacentral:rRNA from 1 species
GACGAACGCUGGCGGCGUGCUUAACACAUGCAAGUCGAGCGGUAAGGCCCUUUCGGGGGUACACGAGCGGCGAACGGGUGAGUAACACGUGGGUGACCUGCCCUCAGCUCUGGGAUAAGCCUGGGAAACCGGGUCUAAUACCGGAUAUGACUCCAUGACGCAUGUUGUGGGGUGGAAAGCCUUGUGCGGCUGAGGAUGGGCCCGCGGCCUAUCAGCUUGUUGGUGGGGUGAUGGCCUACCAAGGCGACGACGGGUAGCCGGCCUGAGAGGGCGACCGGCCACACUGGGGCUGAGACACGGCCCAGACUCCUACGGGAGGCAGCAGUGGGGAAUCUUGCGCAAUGGGCGAAAGCCUGACGCAGCGACGCCGCGUGAGGGAUGACGGCCU